UGAAAUACGAAACACAGUGCAACGAUCUUUUUGGACAGUCUGAAUUCCAUCAGAAUAUCUUUCCAAUCUUUUGUCAUAUAUUUCGGCAAUUAGUUUCAAGGAUUCAUGUUAAGGAUCCAGUACCUAACUCAUCAAAAAGAUUUAUCGUUGAUAGUAUGGCUCAGAACAAAGAAGUUAUCGAAAUUGUGAUCAAAAUUAAGAGAAUACUUGGAGAUGACCCAUCAGAGGCUGCUUGUGAAUCUUCAUGUAUAAUAUUUGCUCAGAGAGACACUUAUAUGCAUUUCCUUUGUCCUCUUGUUUGCCACUCGUUCCAGGCCUUAGCUCAAAAUGUGCAGACUCAUACUACGUUUUAGCCGAACUAACUGAAGGAGCUCCCAAAAAAGCUACUUAAUGUAUGUUAUACAUAUUGUUAAGUUGAUAAAACAAAAUAUAUAGGACACAAAGUAUUUUACAAUGUCCUAAAUUCGGGCAAUAAACA